GAAAGGAGUCGCCAAUUGGGAAGAUGGCCAUAUGGGGAACCUUCUCUGAUCCUCCUGUAAAGAGGAGAUAAAGAAGUCACAGGAUGACGCCAGGUAGCUCAAGCAAUGUCUCAGCUGCGCCUUCAGGGCCUCAAGUACCGAGCAAGGACAGAAUAAGGAGAUAAGGGAGAGAGACACAAAGCUGACAGUUGGUGACCAGACACAGGACAAAGAGGCAGAAUAAAAGAAGAAAAUGAAGAUGAAGGAUGAUGUGAUCGGACCAUACCGGAUGUCUCCUGCCGCAAUGAACACAGGCUCCUUGCUCUCCUGGCUGGUGAUGCUGUCCACCGAGAACUGGGAGAUGUUGUCACAGCUGUUGGUGUGCACUUCAGGGAGCUGGAAGAGCAGGUCAGAAGUGCUAAUACAGAUCUCCCUCUUGCCCUCUGCUCACUUGCCACUACCUACCUAUGGCAUGGUGGUCUAUCACUGCACUCCAGCCUUCUCCCAAAGCCACCAUGGUUCCACAUCACUACGGCCUUGAGUCAUGGAUCCCACAGCAGUGUUCUCAAAGUGUGAACUACUCCAAUAGAAUUCAUGGAAAUGCACAUGGAAAUGCAUAGGAAGUGCAGAUUCUCAGUUCUCACCAUCAGCCCAAAUUAGAACUACUGGGAAUGAAAUCUUGAAGUUGCAUUUUUAUAAACUUUCUAGAAUACUCCCGACACUAAGAACUCUCCAGCUCCUGCUUUCCCAGCUUCCACUUGAGUGUGGGGACUUUAGGUGAACCACCACACCCAGAGGUUUUCUUCAGGCUAAAUCUCCACCUAAUCUCCUCACUCUUAAAAUAUAUUUUGCCGGGCAGUGGUGGGACACGCCUGUAAUCCCAGCACUCUGGGAGGCAGAGGCAGGCAGAUUUCUGAAUUCGAGGCCAGCCUGGUCUACAGAGUGAGUUCCAGGACAGCCAGGGCUACACAGAGAAACCCUGUCUCGAAAAAACCAAAUUCAAAAAAAAAAAAAAAAAAAAAAAAAACCAAACCAAACCGACCCCAAGAAGUCUCUGCCCUUCCUUUUACAAAGUACUCUCAAUUCCACCUGCCAUCUAAUGCACAGUGAUUCAUGAAUCUCUUCAGACAGCCCCAUAGUGAAGCUUGAGUUUCUACCAUAGCUAACAGGGCUGAGUGAGUGCAAGGCUUGUUGAGGUGGGCUGGCCUCUCUAGCCUUGCUCAUCACUGCUCCUCUCCUCACACUACACAUCCAGCAUAUACUAAUUUCUUUUCAUUCCUAUCAUGGCCAUAUUCCACCUUCUCUUCCUCAGGCUUAAUGUUCUUUGUUCUGCUAAUUCCAACCUGCUUCAAGCCUCAGCUGAAAGGUCACAUCCUCCAGGAAAUCUUUUGAUUCCCAUGCUGAGUCUGGAGUAAGUACUCUCUCUCCCUUUGGGCACUUCCAAAAUGUCUCACGCUCCCUGUUGCAGCACAGAUCACACCAGACUAGAAUUGCCAGCUGACUGGUCUGAUUCUGUUAGCACCUAAACUCUUGCAGGUAUAAGCCAAGUCUCACUCAUUAGCAUAUGGCACUCAAGUUCCUUCUGCUUCAACCUUUCAGGUGAGAUUACAGCUGUGAGUCACUAUACCCAGACAUCUCUAUUUCUCUCUUUUUUAAAUAUUUAUUUUAUGUAUAUGAGUGUUUGCCUGUGUGUACCAUGUAUGUACAGUAUCCAAAGAGGCCAGCAGAGGGGCUCAGGUCCCCGAGACUGGAGUUACUGACAGUUGUGAGCCACUGUAAAGGUGCUGGGAAGGAACACAGUUCUCUACAAGGGCAGCCAGUGCUGAGUCCUGGGCUCUGUCUCCAGCCCUUUGUAGAUUUGACUGAAUGCAUGCAUGGCUUGUUGGUCUCUGUUGUCCUCAACUUUAUAUAGCAAGUGUUUCUUAAAUAUGUUAUUAAUUUCCCCUAGGUCUACAUGUUCUCCUUACAUUGAACCUGAACUCCUGCUGUAAGAGCACAAGCUUGAACCUUGAGCCUAUUCCAACCAGCUAUUCAGACCUUUUUCUUCUCAUCCCCCUUACUAUGUACAAUAUUCAUACGGAUAUGUGCCUCA